AUGGUGUUGGCACCACCCACCACGCGCCAUCAAUCAAUGGUCCUGCUGCUCCUGCUGGCUCUCCCAGGGCUCCGGGCGGCCGUGACCCUGCUGGAGUGUGGGGGGGACCUCCAGCCCCCCAGGGGGCCCCUGCGACUCCUCUGCCGAGGAGCCGGGUUCGAUUUUGGACAAUUUGGGAUGGGCUGGAUGCGUCAACGACCCGGGCAGGGACUGGAAUUCGUCGCAGGGAUCACCAACACUGGUGGCAACACCGGCUAUGCGGAUUCAGUCCAGGGCCAUUUCAGGAUCUCCAGGGACAACGGGCAGAGCUCGGUGACGCUGACCAUGAACAACCUCAAGGACGAGGAUUCCGGAUCCUAUUUCUGUGCCAUACCUUAUUCGCCCGGGAUCGAUUUUGGGAUUAUUGUGAUGGCCUGGAUCCGCCAGAGACCCGGGCAGGUGCUGGAGUUCAUUGCAGAUAUCAACACCACUGGCAGCACAACCUACGCGGAUUCGGCUGAAUGUCGUGGACCGAAUUCUCCAGCAUGA